CCUACGGGAGGCAGCAGUGGGGAAUAUUGGACAAUGGGCGCAAGCCUGAUCCAGCAAUGCCGCGUGGGUGAAGAAGGUCUUCGGAUUGUAAAUCCCUUUCGGCGGGGACGAUGAUGACGGUACCCGCAGAAGAAGCUCCGGCUAACUUCGUGCCAGCAGCCGCGGUAAU
rnacentral:rRNA from 1 species